AACAAACAACCUGGGAAAGAGCUAAGGAGACUCUAAGGAGACUGACACCAAAAGGCACGUGGUCCUCUGGUCCAGCCCAGGCAGCCAAACUGCACUUGUCCCCUGGUACACACCUGGGUGGCCUCUUUUCCCUAAUAGCUUACAAAUCCGUUUUGCGGUCACUCAUAACAGGAGGUUCACUCAUGUCCCCUUUCCAGACGGUAAACUGGAGGGGUGAUUAUCGUGGACAAUUUUGUUUUGUUUUGAACAGAUUCUCACUGUGUGUGCCCACAAGCGUGGAGCGUGAGUGCCCCCUGGUGGCUCUUAGGGGAAUUCAUCCAGUAACUGCCUGAGCGACUCGUAACUGAACGGGAUAGAGGGCUCUGCACCCAUGGGAUGGGACACUAGGUACUUGGAAGAAGUAGAUGGACGCCUGACGGUCCAGUCCAGGCCCCCAGGACGGGCACUUCUGCUUUGCUCACCGAUGGUCCUGAGUGUCUGCAACAGGGUCUGACACAGGUGCUCAAUACACAGCAUUAAGUGGAUACAUGCAAAUACAAGACCAGGAGGGACCGCAGUAAAAGCUGCUACAGUAGAGGGUGACCGGGCCGAGGGGCCCAGAGUCACGGAGGCGCCCCUCUGAGAUGCCGCACGGCCUGAGUCUGGGAUCCCAAGAAGGAGCCCAGUGUGAAGCCUUUACGGGGCUGGAAGCUCCCUGCGGGGGCGGGGUACCACACAAGCUGAGGAAGUGCCCGCUGUGCCCCCAAGGAGGUCUGUGCUCUCAUCCUAAUUGAACCUGUGGAAUUCACUGGGGUGAAAGGCCAGUUCAGGUGAGACUGAGCCAGGAGCUCGGGAUGGGAGAGGGUCCUGGACCAUCCUGGUGCCCCAGUGUCAUCACGGGGUCCUUGUGAGAGGGAGGGGGAAGGUCAGAGUCAGAGAUGUGAGGACAGAAGCAGAGGUCGGACGGCUUUGAGGGGGCAACCACAAGCCAAGGGACUGGACCUCCUGAAGCUGAAAAAGGCAAGAAAACCUUUCCGCCUGAAGCCUCCAGAAGGAUUGCAGACCUGCCAACCCCUUGACUUUUGACUGUGACCUCCGGAACUAAUUUUGUUUCUUGGCCUCGGGAGACAUGGUGGAUCUGAAUCUGCUUAUGAAACAGGUGGAGCUACAGCCCUGCACAGGUUCACCACACGAGGACACCAUGCACAGGCCCGGUGGUGCACACAACCACUGGCAAACUGUCUGAUGAAAUAAGUACUUCAUCAUUCUGGAUAGAAGAGAACCAUCUUAGUGAUUUUCCAAACUUGACUGAUGGCUACAGGGUUUAUCAUCAAGUUUUCUCCAAUUGUCGCAAAUCUCAAAAAAAUAUUCCAAUAUAUUUAUUGAAAAAAAUUCGGAGAGGGAUUGGCCAGAAUGGUGGAGUAGCGAGACCCUGAGCUCACCGCCUCUCACGGGCACCAACAUCACAACAAACUACAGAGCAGCUAUCGAUGAGCAAGACUGGAAUGCAGCGGCAAAGCUCUGCUACAACUAAAGACAGGGAGAAGGAACCACAACCAGAUGGGUGCGAGGGGUGGAGACACACUGCAGUCAAUUCCCCUGUCCCUCACCCCCAGGCGGGCGACCCACACACGGGAAAAUAACUACAACUGCAGAGGUUCUUCCCAAGGAGCAAGGGGUCCGAGCCCCGUACUGGGUUCCCGCACGAAGAAGACAAGCCCCCAGAGCCUUUGGCUUUGAAGGCCAGUGGGGCUUUACCUUCAGGAGACCCACUCUUAAAGGGCACACACAGAACCUCAGUCAUUCCAGGACCCGGGGCAGAAGGGGGAGUUUGAAAGGAGCCUGGGUCAGCCCUACCUGCUGAUCUUGGAGAUCUUGAUCAUGGGCGCUCCCCCUGGGGACACAGACACUGGCACAGCCGUCUGGGGGGAAGCGCACUCCACCGAGUGGACGCUGGUGUUAACGAGUGGCAUUGUUAGUCGUCCUACCUUAGCUCCAGGACCUGACCUGCAGCAGAACUGGGACGCCUCAGGCCAAGCAUCUAACUGGGCACUGAUAUAGCCCGCCCUCCACCAGCAGGCUGGCUGCCUUAAGACCCCUUGAGCUCACAGCCACGCUGAGACCCAUCCCAGCCCACCGGAGGGCCCAGGACCUGGCACGGCACACCAGGUCAAUGACACAAGCCCGGGGGGGAACCCCAGGGUCCCACAGCCAGCUGUCAAGACCCAGCACCACCCACCAGCAGGCCAGCACUAGCUCCAGACCUGGCCUCGCCCCCCGGUGGGUGGGCACCAGCCCCAGGACCCCUCGGGUCCCUCAGCCAGCCACCUCGGGAUCCAGACACCCCCCCACCAGCUCUGGACCCUGCUGCCCUAGCCGCGUCGAGGGCCAGUCCCACACAUCAGCCUGCCGACACCCACUCCAGGACCCCAGGGCCCUGCAGUCAGAGACCUUGGGCCCUGGCCCUGCCCCACAGCAGGCCCAGACGAGCUGUGAGACACCUCGGACCCCUCGGCCAGCCACGUCAGGAAGCAUCCCUGCCCACCAGCAGGCUGACACUAGAUCUGGGACCCCCAGCUCUGCAAGCACCCACACCUGCCCACCAGUGGGCUAGCGUUAGCCCCAGGAUCCCCCGGGGUCUGCAGCCUCCACACAAGGCAGGGCCUGACAACCAACCAGACCACGGGCCGGCCACGCCAACCAAAACACCUCACGCCCCGUCAGAGUGGCUGUUUUCUAAAAGAUAAGAAAGAUGUGUUGGCAAGGGUGCGGAGAAAAGGGAAGCCUCAGGCACUGUUGGUGGGAACGUAAACUGCAAUAUAAACUAUGGAGAACCGUACGGAGAGUCCUCAAAAAAUUAAACACAGAACUACUAUAUGAUUUCACAAUUCCACUCCUGGAUAUAUAGCCAAAGAAAACAAAAGCACUAAUCAGAAAAGAUAUAUGCACCUCUAUAUAUUCAUUGCAGCAUUAUUUACAAGAGUCAGAAUACGGAAGCACCCUAAGUGCCCAUCACUGGAUGAAUGGAUAAAGAAGAUGUGGGAGAUAUAUAUAUAUAUAUAUAUAUAUAUAUAUAUUUGACCAAAAAGUUCAUUCGGGUUUUUCUGUGCCAUCUUAUGGAAAACCUGAAUGAAACUUUUGGCCAACCCAAUAUAAUUGAAUAUUACUCAGCCAUAAAAGAAUGAAAUCUUGGGAACUCCCUGGCGGUCCAGUGGUUAGGACUCUGCGUUUUCACUGCCGAGGGCCCUGGUUCAAUCCCUAGUCGGGGAACUAAGAUCCUGCAAGCCGCAAGGUAUGGCCAAAAAAAAAAAAGAAUGAAAUCUUGCCAUUUGCAACAACAUGGAUAGACCCAGAGGGCAUAAUGCUAAGUGAUACAAGUCAGACAGAGAAAGACAAAUACUCUAUGAUUUUACUUACAUGCGGAAUCUAAAAGUCAAACUAAAUAAACAAAUAUAGCAAAACAGAGACAGUUAUAGAUACAGAGAACAAACA